GCCGCUGUCGUCAAGGUGCUCGGCACCUCGUUUGAGUCGAGGCCGCCCAGCUCGGCGGAGGGCUGCCGGACAGUGACCCCCUGCUCGCCGCGGGCCUGCUCCAGCGGCCGGGCUUCACACUUCGCGGUGGCA
rnacentral:tRNA from 1 species